CACGGGGGGAGCAAGCGUUGUUCGGAAUCACUGGGCGUAAAGGGCGUGUAGGCGGUCAGGUAAGUGAGAUGUGAAAUGCCCCGGCUCACCCGGGGACCGGCAUCUCAUACUGCUUGGCUUGAGUACGGGAGAGGAUGUGGGAAUUCCUGGUGUAGCGGUGAAAUGCGUAGAUAUCAGGAGGAACACCGGUGGCGAAGGCGCACAUCUGGCCCGAUACUGACGCUGAGGCGCAAAAGCUAGGGGAGCAAACGGG
rnacentral:rRNA from 1 species